rnacentral:rRNA from 1 species
CAGUAGCCGCGGGAAUACGAAGGGUGCAAGCGUUACUCGGAAUUACUGGGCGUAAAGGGCGUGUAGGCGGCCUGGGGCGUCCCAUGUGAAAGGCCACGGCUCAACCGUGGAGGAGCGUGGGAUACGCUCAGGCUAGAGGGUGGGAGAGGGUGGUGGAAUUCCCGGAGUAGCGGUGAAAUGCGCAGAUACCGGGAGGAACGCCGAUGGCGAAGGCAGCCACCUGGUCCACUUCUGACGCUGAGGCGCGAAAGCGUGGGGAGCAAACCGGAUUAGAUACCCCUGUAGUCCCUGUCUCUUAUAA